AGCGAACGCUGGCGGCAUGCUUAACACAUGCAAGUCGCACGGUUUGGGGCUUCGGUUCCGGGCAGUGGCGGACGGGUGAGUAACGCGUAGGCAUCUAUCCUGGGGUGGGGGAUAACGGCGGGAAACUGCUGCUAAUACCGCAUGAAACCUGAGGGUCAAAGGCGUAAGUCGCCUUAGGAGGAGCCUGCGUCUGAUUAGCUUGUUGGUGGGGUAAAGGCCUACCAAGGCGAUGAUCGGUAGCUGGUCUGAGAGGAUGAUCAGCCACAUUGGGACUGAGACACGGCCCAAACUCCUACGGGAGGCAGCAGUGGGGAAUAUUGGACAAUGGGCGCAAGCCUGAUCCAGCAAUGCCGCGUGUGUGAAGAAGGUUUUCGGAUUGUAAAGCACUUUCGGCGGGGACGAUGAUGACGGUACCCGCAGAAGAAGCCCCGGCUAACUUCGUGCCAGCAGCCGCGGUAAUACGAAGGGGGCUAGCGUUGCUCGGAAUGACUGGGCGUAAAGGGCGCGUAGGCGGAUGUGACAGUCAGACGUGAAAUUCCUGGGCUCAACCUGGGGACUGCGUUUGAGACGUUAUAUCUAGAGUGAGGAAGAGGGUUGUGGAAUUCCCAGUGUAGAGGUGAAAUUCGUAGAUAUUGGGAAGAACACCGGUGGCGAAGGCGGCAACCUGGUCCUUUACUGACGC
rnacentral:rRNA from 1 species